AGAAACUUAGGUUAACAAAACCAGAAGCCUUCAAAGCUUCAAACAGGGGUUAAAACCCCCUAGCUUCUG
rnacentral:tRNA from 1 species